UGAUCCAGCAUGCCGCGUGGGUGAAGACGGCCUGCGGGUUGUAAAGCCCUUUAGGCGGGGAAGAACGGCCGGGCGCGAAUAGCGCGCGGCUCUGACGUUACCCGCAGAAUAAGCACCGGCUAACUCCGUGCCACCAGCCGCGGUAAUACGGACGGUGCGAGCGUUAAUCGGAAUUACUGGGCGUAAAGCGUGCGUAGGCGGUUCGGUCAGUCAGCCGUGAAAGCCCCGGGCUCAACCUGGGAACGGCGGUUGAGACGGCCGGACUAGACUGGGCUAGAGGAUCGUGGAAUUCCCGGUGUAGCGGUGAAAUGCGUAGAGAUCGGGAGGAACACCGAUGGCGAAGGCAGCGGUCUGGGGCCACACUGACGCUGAGGCACGAAAGCGUGGGGAGCAAACAGGAUUAGAUACCCUGGUAGUCCACGCGGUAAACGAUGAGCACUAGACGUCGGGUGGGUGACCGUCCGGUGUCGCAGCUAACGCGCUAAGUGCUCCGCCUGGGGA
rnacentral:rRNA from 1 species